AGGAACGUUGGACAACGGUUUGGACAGGAGACCGCCAGGAAGGUUCCAGAAGGGCUGAUGGCUACCUCCGUGGGAAAGUUCCACAAGGCUGUUCCUGUAGGAAUCCUGCUUCCUUUUGCCUUACUCCUGGUCAUAGCACUCCCAGGGGUGGGAACCAAUGUCACCAAGGCUCCUUCUAGAUGGACCUUUAGUGUGCAAUGCUAUGAGUGUGAACUCAUAAACACCUUCGUUUGUUCAAACAUCAAAGUAUGUGACUAUCACAUUAGACGGUGCAU